rnacentral:rRNA from 1 species
UACGUAGGGUGCAAGCGUUGUCCGGAAUUAUUGGGCGUAAAGAGCUCGUAGGCGGUUUGUCGCGUCUGCUGUGAAAACCCGAGGCUCAACUCCGGGCCUGCAGUCGAUACGGGCAGACUGGAGUUCGGCAGGGGAGACUGGAAUUCCUGGUGUAGCGGUGAAAUGCGCAGAUAUCAGGAGGAACACCGGUGGCGAAGGCGGGUCUCUGGGCCGAUACUGACGCUGAGGAGCGAAAGCGUGGGGAGCGAACAGG